ACAUGCAAGUCGAGCGGUAACAGGUCUAGUUUACUAGAUGCUGACGAGCGGCGGACGGCUGAGUAACGCGUGGGAAUCUGCCCCAAAGUGAGGAAUAACUGCUCGAAAGGGUAGCUAAUACCGCAUAUGGUCUUCGGAUUAAAGGAUUUAUCCGCUUUGGGAGGAGCCCGCGUUGGAUUAGGUUGUUGGUGAGGUAAUGGCUCACCAAGCCGACGAUCCAUAGCUGGUCUGAGAGGAUGAUCAGCCAGACUGGAACUGAGACACGGUCCAGACUCCUACGGGAGGCAGCAGUGAGGAAUCUUCCACAAUGGGCGAAAGCCUGAUGGAGCAACGCCGCGUGAAGGAUGAAGGCCCUCGGGUUGUAAACUUCUUUUAUGAGUGAAGAAUAUGACGGUAACUCAUGAAUAAGCACCGGCUAACUACGUGCCAGCAGCCGCGGUCAUACGUAGGGUGCAAGCAUUAUCCGGAGUGACUGGGCGUAAAGAGUUGCGUAGGCGGUCUACAAAGUGAAUAGUGAAACCUGGUGGCUCAACCAUACAGACUAUUAUUCAA
rnacentral:rRNA from 1 species